AUUGGAGAGUUGAUAAGUUUGGGACUUAAUUGGACUUGGAUUCAAUUUAAUUAAUGAAAUUAGAGACUUAAUUGGAUAAAUUACAAAGUUUGGGGUUAAUUGGGGGCACAAUUGCAAACAGAUUAAAGUCCAAGGGCUAACUUGUAAAAUAUGCCGAAAUGCAGGGGUCCAAUUACAAUUCAACUAGGGGCUUAAUUACAAAACUUUCCAAACUUCAAGGUCCAAAAUGAAAAAAGCCGUGAAUAACAAAA